CAGAUCAGUGAAGAUGACUAGUGGUAAAUUAAGCAUAUACAAUGAAUACUACAUGUCUGGAAUUCUAGGGUCCAA
ensembl:snoRNA